AAGGCUCCCAGGGUGGAGGUGGACACAGACGGCAGCAGGUUCACCUCUGCACCUGCGUGUGAAGGCGGUGACAGUCCACUGAGAAUGGAGGGACUCACAGCGUACUCAUUCUCUGUGUGUGAUAAGAGGUGCACCAAGACCUCAUGAAUCAGCCUGUAGGAGUCUGAAUCUCAGUCAUCCAGAAGCCAUCCAUGCCCCUCUCUGCACUCUGUGGUGACCCUCCAGGUGUCCUGGACUCUCUACUAGGCACAGAGCAAGCAGAAAGUAAGAGGUGGUCUCCUUUCUUCUUCAAGGUCAAGGGGAAGAGUGAAGAAGCUGAGAGGCAGAGGCAGGAGGAUGAUGAGUUCAAAGCUGGUCUGGACUAUAUGAGGCUGGAGAAGGAGGUGGAAGAGAAGCAGGAGGAGGAAGAAGAGGAGCAGAAGAAGAAGUAUAAAUGGCUACAACAAAUAACAUUAUUGCCCCCCACACACACACACACUCGCCAGCUUCCAAAGUCCCCAAAGGUAUCUGGGGCCUGAAGAAAGAAAAAUGACAUUGCUGGCCACCAAGAUGCAGGACGAUUAUAAAUGAAGAGGAAAUA